rnacentral:rRNA from 1 species
UCAAGCUACUAAGGGCAUACGGUGGAUGCCUUGGCACUAAGAGCCGAUGAAGGACGCGGUAAGCUGCGAAAAGCCACGGGGAACUGCAAGCAAGUCUUGAUCCGUGGAUGUCCGAAUGGGGAAACCCACCAUCCGUCAUGGGAUGGUAUCCUACGGGAGGGGAACCCGGUGAACUGAAACAUCUAAGUAGCCGGAGGAAGAGAAAUCAAACGAGAUGCCCACAGUAGCGGCGAGCGAAGAGGGCAGAGCCUAAACCAGUCAUCUUCGGAUGGUUGGGGUUACGGACCUGCAUCAACCGAGUCCUACCUAGUCGAAUUACCUGGAAAGGUAAGCCAGAGAGCGUAAGAGCCGCGUAGGUGAAAGGAGGGACGAGGGGGCAGGAAUCCAGAGUACCACGAAGCACGAGGAAUUUUGUGGGAAGUCGGGGGGACCACCCUCCAAGGCUAAACACUUCUUAGUGACCGAUAGCGCAUAGUACCGUGAGGGAAAGGUGAAAAGAACCGCGGGAGCGGAGUGAAAGAGAACCUGAAACCGUAUGUCUACAAGCAGUCGGAGCGCAAGCGACGGCGUGCCUAUUGAAGAAUGAGCCAACGAGUUACGGGCACCAGCGAGGUUAAGCAGGAAAUGCGGAGCCGGAGCGAAAGCGAGUCUAAACAGGGCGAAUAGUUGGUGUUCGUAGACCCGAAACUGUAGUGAUCUACCCAUGAUCAGGUUGAAGCGCAGGUAAAAAUGCGUGGAGGACCGAACCGGUGAGCGUUGAAAAGCUUUCGGAUGAAUCGUGGGUAGCGGUGAAAUUCCAAUCGAACGCAGAGAUAGCUGGUUCUCCUCGAAAUAGCUUUAGGGCUAGCCUCAAGCAGUAAGCAUAGGCGGUAGAGCACUGAUCGGGAUAGGGUCCGUAAAGGAUACCGAACCCUGUCAAACUACGAAUGGUUAUGCUGCAGAGCUUGGGAGUCAGACUACGAGAGAUAAGUCCCGUUGUCAAAAGGGAAACAGCCCAGACCGUCAGCUAAGGUCCCCAAUGCCAUACUAAGUGGAAAAGGAUGUGGGGUCUCAUAAACAACCAGGAUGUUGGCUCAGAAGCAGCCACCAUUUAAAGAGUGCGUAAUAGCUCACUGGUCGAGAGGCCCUGCGCCGAAGAUUCCCGGGGCUAAAGUAUGGAACCGAAGCUACGGAUGCGGUACUUGUACCGCGUGGUAGAGGAGCGUUCCCAUUGGGUUGAAGUCGUCCUGGAAGGGACGGUGGACUGGUGGGAAGUGAGAAUGUUGGCAUGAGUAGCGAAAAGAUAGGUGAGAAUCCUAUCCACCGAAAGCAUAAGGAUUCCUGAGCAACGAUCGUCGUCUCAGGGUAAGUCGGGACCUAAUCCGAGGCAUGGAGCGUAGGAGAUGGACAACUGGUUGAUAUUCCAGUACCGGCAGCAAUCGUUUGAACGAUGGAGUGACGCAGGAAGGCAGGUCCGCGCGAGAAUGGUAGAUCGCGUACAAGCGUGCAGGCUGGUGCACAGGCAAAUCCGUGUACUGAGGCUGAGGCGUGAUGUGGAGGGAACUUGUUCCCGAAGGGAUUGAGCCUACGCUGCCGAGAAAAGCUUCUAGUGAGAAAGCUGCCGCCCGUACCGUAAACCGACACAGGUAUGCGGGGAGAGAAUCCUAAGGUGCGCGGGAGAACCCUCGUUAAGGAACUCGGCAAAAUGUACCCGUAACUUCGGGAUAAGGGUAGCCACAGUGGUGAAGGGACUUGCUCCUGGAGCCUAGUGUGGUCGCAGAGAAGAGGCCCAAGCGACUGUUAACCAGAAACACAGGUGCCUGCGAAAGAGAAAUCUGAUGUAUAGGUGCUGACACCUGCCCAGUGCUGGAAGGUUAAAGAAGGAUGUCCGGGUUCGACCCAAAGCAUUUGACUGAAGCCCCAGUGAACGGCGGCCGUAACUAUAACGGUCCUAAGGUAGCGAAAUUCCUUGUCGGGUAAG